GCCAGUCGUGUGUAUAUUUUACAAUAUGACGUAUGAAUGACUCACCCUGAAUCCUUUCUUGCUGAGAUCGAAGAACCAACCCUCUCUUGGGAUCUGGAUCAGGACCCCUUUCCUAUAAUACUGGCAGUCUGGAGAUGUGUGCCCUAACCAGGCCAUACUCCCGUUGCCCCAUGACCAUCCAUGCUGUGGCUACUGUUGCUGAAGCUGAACCUCAAGGUUACUGUUAAAUAGGAUGAGGAAACUGAGGCUUCAAGAGAUUCAGCAAUCUGCCUUAGGACACAGAGGUAGAAAGUGGCAGGCAGUCUGACUCUGGAAGCCCACACUGUUUCCUAUUAUACUAACCCUGAAUAGAGAGGUAAGUAUUUCUCCAAAAGUAUCAGGCACCCAUCCACUGAGUGG